UUUUAAAACAGCACAAUUAUAAACCGGAAAUUCACCAGUUUCUCACUGUUUUUUUUUUUUUUGUCUUUUCUACUUUCAUGUUCAGGCUUUUGAUACAUUUUUACUUUCACUUCUGCGGACGAGGUGGAUCUAAAGCACCACGUCCCAAGCUCUUCAGUUCAUUUGCUCCCACCUUUCAGCAAAGACAAGAGGCAAUCAGUGAAGGACGGCCAGGAUGGGGAAUAUAUUUUCCAGCUCUAGCACUCCAACUCCAACUCCAACUCCAACCAAAGCAGCAGAGUCCUCGACCAGCCGGCCAGGCCCUGCGACAGACUGGCGACCUGUCCAGGAUGUACCCCGCCUUCGCCCUUCAGUAGCCG